rnacentral:rRNA from 1 species
AUUGAACGCUGGUGGUAUGCUUAACACAUGCAAGUCGAACGGUAGCAGGCCUUCGGGCGCUGACGAGUGGCGGACGGGUGAGUAACGCGUAGGAAUCUGCCUCAUAGUGGGGGACAACGUGUGGAAACGCACGCUAAUACCGCAUACGCCCUACGGGGGAAAGCGGGGGACCUUUGGGCCUCGCGCUAUGAGAUGAGCCUGCGUUAGAUUAGCCAGUUGGUGGGGUAAAGGCCUACCAAGGCGACGGUCUAUAGCUGGUCUGAGAGGACGAUCAGCCACACUGGGACUGAGACACGGCCCAGACUCCUACGGGAGGCAGCAGUGGGGAAUAUUGGACAAUGGGCGCAAGCCUGAUCCAGCAAUACCGCGUGUGUGAAGAAGGCCCUAGGGUUGUAAAGCACUUUCAAUAGGGAGGAAAACCUGCCGGUCAAUACCCGGUAGCUUGACAUUACCUAUACAAGAAGCACCGGCUAACUCCGUGCCAGCAGCCGCAGUAAGAC